AUUGAACGCUGGCGGCAUGCCUUACACAUGCAAGUCGAACGGCAGCACGGGAGCAAUCCUGGUGGCGAGUGGCGAACGGGUGAAUAAUAUAUCGGAACGUGCCCAGUAGUGGGGGACAACCAGUCGAAAGAUUGGCUAAUACCGCAUACGCACUGAGGUGGAAAGCGGGGGAUCGCACGACCUCGCGCUACUGGAGCGGCCGAUAGCAGAGUAGGUAGCUGGUGGGGUAAAGGCUCACCAAGCCGACGAUCUGUAGCUGGUCUGAGGGGACGACCAGCCACACUGGGACUGAGACGCGGCCCAGACUCCUACGGGAGGCAGCAGUGGGGAAUUUUGGACAAUGGGCGAAAGCCUGAUCCAGCCAUGCCGCGUGUGGGAAGAAGGCCUUCGGGUUGUAAACCACUUUUGUCAGGGAAGAAACGGUUUAGGCUAAUACUCUGAACUAAUGACGGUACCUGAAGAAUAAGCACCGGCUAACUACGUGCCAGCCGCCGCCGUAA
rnacentral:rRNA from 1 species